rnacentral:rRNA from 1 species
CGUACACUCCUGCGGGAGGCAGCAGUGGGGAAUAUUGCACAAUGGGCGCAAGCCUGAUGCAGCCAUGCCGCGUGUAUGAAGAAGGCCUUCGGGUUGUAAAGUACUUUCAGCGGGGAGGAAGGCGAUAAGGUUAAUAACCUUGUUGAUUGACGUUACCCGCAGAAGAAGCACCGGCUAACUCCGUGCCAGCAGCCGCGGUAAUACGGAGGGUGCAAGCGUUAAUCGGAAUUACUGGGCGUAAAGCGCACGCAGGCGGUCUGUCAAGUCGGAUGUGAAAUCCCCGGGCUCAACCUGGGAACUGCAUUCGAAACUGGCAGGCUAGAGUCUUGUAGAGGGGGGUAGAAUUCCAGGUGUAGCGGUGAAAUGCGUAGAGAUCUGGAGGAAUACCGGUGGCGAAGGCGGCCCCCUGGACAAAGACUGACGCUCAGGUGCGAAAGCGUGGGGAGCAAACAGGAUUAGAUACCCUAGUAGUCCC